UACGUAGGGUGCGAGCGUUAAUCGGAAUUACUGGGCGUAAAGCGUGCGCAGGCGGUUCGUUGUGUCGGUGGUGAAAUCCCCGGGCUUAACCUGGGAAUGGCCAUGGAAACUGGCGAACUGGAGUGCGGCAGAGGGGGGUGGAAUUCCGCGUGUAGCAGUGAAAUGCGUAGAGAUGCGGAGGGACACCGAUGGCGAAGGCAGCCCCCUGGGCUAGCACUGACGCUCAGGCACGAAAGCGUGGGGAGCAAACAGG
rnacentral:rRNA from 1 species